rnacentral:tRNA from 1 species
UCCCAAGCCUUCUGGCGAUCUCUUAAAAUAAAGUCCGGUCUGUUUCAAAUAAACUAGGAUGUUUAGACAUAUGUUUAAAUUCUACGGUUCUUAAAGACCAUAAAUUUAAAAAAAGGCUUUAUGAAGAAAGCUCUUUAUGCUUUUCCCAGUGAUUUAAGAUGAUACCGGGGAAGGUUUUCCGGUUUAUCCCGGAGGGCUUGUAGCUCAGUUGGUUAGAGCGCGCGCUUGAUAAGCGUGAGGUCGGAGGUUCAAGUCCUCCCAGGCCCACCAAUUUAUGCUCGUUUUUUGCUUAUCCAAGAGUAUGAAGCUUAAGCGUAUUAAAGCCUCUUUUAAUCUUUGUUUAUUUUAAAGAUUUAAUUUUAUCAUUCAAAGAUUGUUUGUUAAAUUUAUUCUAUUAAGUUUGUCAAAGGGGGAGUUUGUCAAAGGAGGUUUUUAAAUCCCUUCAUUUUGAAAUUCCUUCAAGGUAUAGAGAAAUUUAAAUGAUGUAUAGAGAAAUUUAAAUGAUGCAAAUCAAAAUAGUACAAAUCAAAGUCGUAUAAAUGAUUCAAGUUGAUAAAUUUUCUUGAGGUUGAUUUGAGAGAGCAUUCUUUAGGGGCCGUAGCUCAGCUGGGAGAGCACCUGCUUUGCAAGCAGG